rnacentral:misc_RNA from 1 species
GGGAACUUCCUCAUCUGUUGAUCCCAAAGAGAAAAAAUCAUCUUUAGAUGAGGAAGUUGGAAAAGAAUUUCUUGGCUCUUGGAAAUCACUUUCAGUGACAGGAGAUGAGACAAUGGAUUUUAGUUUUGAUACAGUUCCAAGUGGCAAGAGAAAGACAUUCAACUUUGAUAAACUGGAUAUGGAUUUUAAUCUAGAUGGUGAUUUUGACAAGUUAACGUCCUUCAAAUUAGACAUGCCUGACCUUGAUUUCUCAUCCCCAUCAAAAAAGACUGCAAAACCCAAAGAAAGUUCUAAAGGAGAGUCUUCUAGAGCAAAUCAUCAAGGAAAACAAGAUUGCUUUACCUUUUCUUUUGAUUUUAAUGAGUUGGAUAAUUUCAAUUUUGAUUCAACCUUGAUUCAAGGAGAGAGAAAAGCUUCUGUGAAGAAUCCAGACUGCAAAGGGGCUGAUUCAGAUAGGAAUGAACAUCAGGGCUCAAAAGUUAACCCGGCUGGUGGACCAGAUGCCUUUGAUGAUAGCCAAACCAACAAACUUCAUGCAUCAGAGAAUGCAACUUCUUCAAUUGUUGAGACUACUGUCGAUGGUGCAGGGCCAGGCAAUUCUUCAAAUGGCAAUUUCCCUUCAAAAUAUGGAAAUUUUGAAAAUCUGGUUGUGCCACACAGCACAAAAACUUCAU